GAUUUAACUGACCCGUACCAAACUGACCAGCCACUCUGAACUGGGUGCCCUGACCCAGAUAAGGAAACUGAGGCACUGAGAGGCUGAAUAGCUUGUCCAAGUCAGUGGAUGAGCCAAGAUUUACAACCUGGCAGACUGCUGUAGUCUAUGAACUUACCUUCUUCCCUCCACACCCCAGAUACUCCAGUUUCCUUGGAUCUUGUAGUUAACAUGACUUCAAAGGCACUAGGGCUUCAAAGUGGCAUUUAAAUUUAAGAAUAGUCAAAGGUAAUAGUUGCAGUGUUGAGU
rnacentral:lncRNA from 10 species